UCUCUCUUCACUAUAUGUCUACAUCUUAUUAGUAGUAUUAGGGUUGUUGGUAGGCUUCACUAUUAAAUGAUAAACAAAUUUUAUUGUUACAUACAUUUUUAGUUUGAUAAUCCAAUUUUAAAUUUGCCAUCAAAGAUGGUGUGGGAUACGCGCCUUGCCCUUCAUGCCCAGUUCGACCCAAACACAAGAUAAAUAAGUCAAAACGGCCCACCAAAAGAAAGGCCCAUCAGAAAAUCGACCCAUUAGAUCGACCGGCUCGGCCCAGAUGUAAGUUGCUCGGUCCAAC